rnacentral:rRNA from 1 species
CACGUAGGGGACGAGCGUUGUCCGGAAUCAUUGGGCGUAAAGCGCGCGUAGGCGGCCCGGAAAGUCGGAUGUGAAAUCCCGGGGCUCAACCCCGGGCCUGCAUCCGAUACUCCCGGGCUGGAGGCAGGUAGGGGAGAUCGGAAUUCCUGGUGUAGCGGUGAAAUGCGCAGAUAUCAGGAAGAACACCCGUGGCGAAGGCGGCUCUCUGGGACGGUACUGACGCUGAGACGCGAAAGCGUGGGGAGCGAACAGG